rnacentral:rRNA from 1 species
UGGGGAAUUUUGGACAAUGGGCGAAAGCCUGAUCCAGCAAUGCCGCGUGUGUGAAGAAGGCCUUCGGGUUGUAAAGCACUUUUGUCCGGAAAGAAAUCCUCUGGGUUAAUACCUCGGGGGAUGACGGUACCGGAAGAAUAAGCACCGGCUAACUACGUGCCAGCAGCCGCGGUAAUACGUAGGGUGCAAGCGUUAAUCGGAAUUACUGGGCGUAAAGCGUGCGCAGGCGGUUUUGUAAGACGGAUGUGAAAUCCCCGGGCUUAACCUGGGAACUGCAUUCGUGACUGCAAGGCUAGAGUAUGGCAGAGGGGGGUAGAAUUCCACGUGUAGCAGUGAAAUGCGUAGAGAUGUGGAGGAAUACCGAUGGCGAAGGCAGCCCCCUGGGCCAAUACUGACGCUCAUGCACGAAAAGCGUGGGGGAGCAAAACAGGAUUAGAUAACCCCUGGUAGUCCACGCCCUAAAACGAUGUCAACUAGUUGUUGGGGAUUCAUUUCCUUAGUAACGUAGCAACGCGUGAAGUUGACCGCCUGGGGGAGUACGGUCGCAAAGAUUAAAAACUCAAAUGAAUUGACGGGG